UUUUUUUUUUUUUUUUUUAGGGCCACACCAGCGGCAUGUGGAGGUUCCCAGGCUAGGGGUCAAGUCGGAGCUGGAGCAGCCGGCCUGUGUCACAGCCACAGCAACACAGAUCCGUGUCUGCGACCUACACCACAGCUCACAGCAAUGCAGGAUCCUUAACCUACUGAGCGAGGCCAGGGAUCAAACCCACAACCUCAUGGAUGCUAGUUGGGUUCAUUAACCGUUGAGCCAUGACGGGAACCAGCGUGAUGUAUUUUACCACAAUUAAAAAAUUGAAAAGGUGUAUAUUUUUUAAAAUGUUUUAAUAUUUUAUUUUAAACAUUUUCAGUAUUUUCAAUAUAUCAAAAUAAUAUCAUUUAACUCUAUCUUAUGUUACACAUAAUAUAAAUUAAAAAAUACAUGCUUAGUAACAAGGACAUCUAGCUUUGUAUCAAGCAGCACUGUUUCCUGAGACGGCUUCUUACGCCUCACCCAUUUCACCAGCUUCCUUGGUCUGGGGUCUUCCACUGGCCACGGCUCGAUCUUCCUCUGUGUAGAGAAACCGGCCCACCACUCUGCACCGGUCAGCCUGGGGUGGCAAAAGCCUGAACUCUUCUCAGAGGGAUGGUAACUGAUGUGACCAGGAGCCUGAACAGCCUGGUCCUGUGGUUGGGCUCUUCUGAGCUCUGGUACACCAGAUUGCCAACAAGGGGACCGUUUUUCCCCCUCAAGCUGUUCCCCACAUUCACAACCAGACCUCCCUUCUGCUGCGUCGGGAAGAUGACAUGUGGCCCUCUCUUGGUUGCCACACGUUAAGCCUCAUCUCACACUGGGCACUUGGUCUGGGCCUUUGAAAGUGACAUUGCUAUUUCCUACAAGCCGAGACCCAUGAAUCAUUUGCCAAAGCCAAAGGUAAAAAUUUACAUUUCAAUGAUCAGCAAGUUUCAGUGCAUUUAAGAAACUGGCCAGAGUUGCUGGCCCCUAUACACAGGUUUUGUUAAUGAAUUUGGCAGAGGGAAGUUGCAUUCCUAGGCUAAGGAUUAGAACAAAAAGGACCUGUUUUCCCAUGUAAUGAACUGCUGAGAAAUUAUUCAAAAUGUGACUUAAAUAGCCUCUUGCUAGCAAGUUCAAUUCUCUGAGUCAUGAAUUAGAUAAUGGUCUUUUAUAAACCCACAGAGGGAAACCCUCUGAGGAUUUAUGUGGGUGAGGAGAGAAUGUCUGUCCGGAGCUGCCGCCUUCUCCCAUGUGCUCCUGCAUCAUGCAAGGCCAACUGGACCACCGUCAAGGGUGUAAUCAGCAGUGCUCGCCCUGGACAUUUGCCCAGCUCACAGCUGCAGAUCUUACCAGAGCAGAGCAGAGCAGAGAGCAGCCACUGCCCCUGCCUGCCCCGGGGAAACCGCGUUCACUGGGGGAAGGACGGUCAGGUGGACAAGGACGACCUCCUCCCGGCACCAUCACCUUCCUAAAGAUGUAGUACCCAACCCCACCCGCAGCCCUAAUUCAGAUAAGACCCAAGCCUCUCAUGAGACUACAGCUUAUGGCUACUCGGGGUAUAUGGAGGGAUGGUUUGAAAGUGAUUCUUUAGAAACUAAGCUCCACAUAAAGGAACAGAGUCCCUUUCGUAGAGUUCUGGCAACAAAGGAAGUAACCACCAAUCAAGCCGGUCUCAGACUAUGACUACAGAACUUCAUGAUGUGCUCCAACCGAGCUUUCCCUAAGGUCAAGGACACUCAUGGGCACACAGAGCUGUUCAAUAUGCUUUUGCCCCCCACCUGAAUGUUCUUUGCUACAAGGGAUACAAACUGUUUCUACCCUAAAUUACCCCUUAGGUAACUUUGAUUACUUCUCAGGCUGGCUGCCUGCCUGGACUCGAGUGUAGCUCAGAUUCAACUAUGCCUCCUGCCCGCUGCCCACUCUGGCUGUGUGUACCCUUGGACCACCAGCCUGGAGCUCUGGCAUGGCUCCCAAUAACCACUUGGGCAUGAGGACAACCUGGAUGAGACAUCUGUCAGUCCAACGAUGGCCAAGAUAAUCUGGCAACACCUACUUUUUCUGAUUCCUGGGAAGUUCCAAAAACUACUGAGCAAUCUCAUAUGACUGGUGGCCGUAGAAGCCAUGAAGGAGUUCCUCUGUAACCCAAGGUUACCUGCUGCUGGAGAGGGAAAUAGGCAUAGAAGGGGGGAAAGGCGUUUUCCUUAUGUUGGAGCCAGAAAGAUACAAUGGGUGCGAAUACCCUCAAGUUGCCCCAGAAUAAAAAUUUUAAAAGACAAAGUUCUCCUCCUAGAUAGCAAUGGGUCUGAAGAUGUCUUUGCUCUGGAACUGAAAACUCCCACGUUUCUACCCAGUGGCUCUAACUCCUCUCUCUUUCCAAAAAUGACUAAAUUUAAUAGCGUGUAGACCUAGGAAAUCACAUCAGUACCCGGGAACUAAAAGAACAGGUUGAUAUUAACAAGCCUUUUUGCGGAUUCUGGAGGAGUGGCCUUGAAGCUGGUUGGCUUGUGUGUUUGGAACACUGCAUCAAGCAGACUAAGUUUACACAGCGAGAUGGCCCAGCCAGCAUUCUUCCCUCUGUGGCUGUGCUUUUGUCCCUGGUUUUAUGUGUUGUCACAUUGGGAAGAUGCUUGUGUGUUCAUGUCACCCCCCCUUUAAUUGAUUAUGUCUGUAUUGAGUACAGUGCCCAGCACUGUAGUAGGUGCUUCAAGAUACAAAAAUAAAUUAUAAACAAACUGAGCAUUGCCUCAGAUUUAUCUUUUUCCUCUUCCUCAGAAGGCUCCCUCAGCUGGUAACUUUAACUGGAAAACUCAGCCCUGAGUUCUCAUCCAUUGUGAUCCCAGUCAGCAAGGUGUUGGCAGCUACAGACCCUCCAGAGGUCGUAAUCCGGGGUUUGUCUGGCAAUGGCAUGCUCCAGAUCAAAGCCAGCACCCUGGUCUUCAUGCAUGUGCACUGAUUGUCUUUGCUUCUGGGCUGAUACCUGAGAUUCCCUGCAGAGUGGAAAGUUUUGCCUAGCUUUUGCCAGUACCUAUUCUUGGGAGAGGAAUACUGACCUCCUCCAUUGCUGAGUGGAGACCUGCACCAUAACUCGGGACUUUGACAUGGUCACCCGUUGAUCUGCCUCCUGUCUGCUGCCUUAUGCCACAUACCACAUCAAGAGCACAUGGCUCUUGGUGCUGUUUGGUCAAAGCCAAGGGCACCACUUGCAUUUGGCUGACUGGCCAACAAUCCUUCUUGAUCCACCCUUGGUUUUAUCAUGCCCUUGCCUCCCUCUGCCUGGUUCGCACUGAAGCCUCUGAAUGAACUGGAGAUGAAAUUCCUGAGAAAUAAAAACCUGUGAUAGACAAACUCACCCACCCUAUUUACGCUAGUUGUCAUGUGGCUGGCACCCAGUAUCAUGAUCUCUCAAAGCGCUUCCUAAAUGAGGGCUAUUUCACUCUCUACUUCAUUGUCCCCCCAAACUUUUAAACUCAACCAUUCUAUCUAUUUAAAGCAAAGAAUUUAAAGUCCUCAUUUAUACACAGCUUGCUCUUCUCAAUCAUGCAUCUAUCUCUAGGUUGAAAAGCCAGAAGUUUAGAAGGGAAGUUAGAGGAGUCAGAAACCUAUGUAAAUUAAUGUUAGCUGAACUACAAAUGAAUUAGCAGUAAAAUAGAAUUAGCUGUAAAGUGUCAUAAGAAGAAAAGGAUGAGACCUAGAAAGAUUCAAAGAUGCUGAAAGUAACACAUUAGUUGUCCUCGUUUCUAAAGUUGAAUUGCCCAGUUGUAGAAGCCUGCUAUAUUUUCUUGCUAAAUAUGUUCUUUUCUGCAGAUAAAAUCCCUCUUCUUUUUGUCAUUGUCUUCUCAUGCAGUCUCUGUGGCUACACAGGCAGCCUGUGGACAAGGCCUUACUAAUCAGAAAACUCCACCCCCCAGCUCUGGGGUUAGUUUGGAGUUAGCACAUGUUUUAAACCAGGCAAAUUAGAACCAGUCCAUUUUGGGGUAGUAGUGCUAAUAUUAAAAUGUAUGGGGAGGGGAGUUCUCAUUGUAGUUUCAGUGGGUUAUGAACCCAAGUAAUAUCCAGGACGUGGGUUCCAUCCCUGGCCCUGCUCAGAGGGUUAAGGAUCUGGCAUUGCUGUGAGCUGUGGUGUAGGUCACAGACGUGGCUUGGAUGUGGCAUUGCUGUGGCUGUGGUGCCACAGUCUGGGAACUGACUCCUAGCCUGGGAACUUCCAUAGGCUGCAGGUGCUACCCUAAAAAGAAAAAAGACAAGAAAAAAGUAUGGGGCAGGGGGAGAAAAAAGAAAAAAAAAAAAAAGACUAUGAGAAACUUUAGUUUCUGGGAACAACGUUGUUGACCAAUCAGAGAAGCCCUGCCCCCACAGAGGAGAGCAAGGAAUGUAAUGAACAGAUUUCUGACGACGCUACUCUAUCCAGCAAAAGCUGGAAACCAGGAGACCUAUGUCCAGUGGACUGUUCAGUAGUAUGAACAAAUAAAUGAUGCUUUAGUUAAGUUAGCUUGAAUACAGUUCCACUUAUUUUAAAUCAAAUCCUUUCUCCCAAGUGUCUGCUUUAUCUCUAGGAUGAUGAGGAUUUAGCCUGGGACACAGGGAGCAUGAGGAGGGAAUCAAGUGGUGGGUGGCACCAGGGAACAUAUUUGUGGUGAGGAACACCUGGGGCAAUUUUACAGCAAUUAACAGGGUGUAGUUUUAAAAGCAUUACUCUUUCACUGAGAGUUUGACAUUUAAAAAUAAAGACUUAUUUUACUGUAGAGGUGCAGAUAGUUAUGACAUGAAAACCACAGUUUUUUAACAUGCUGGCUAAAGUCAUUGGAAAGUGCUGCAUGAUCAAGCCAACCUGAGGGAAACCCAACGGCUGUUCCAGCAUUUGGAAUUUAGAGUGGAAUGAAUCAAAUGACAAAUCUCUCUGCCCUUUCACUUUGUCAUGAAAAUACUAAGUGCUAAGCCUUAUCAUCAGAAGGAACGUGUCAUGAUAAUAAUUAAUUUUAGCAAUGGAGUAAUUUGCUGGCACCACAAAUUGGUUCUGCAGAACAGAAAAAAGUAAGAACAGCUUGAACAGGACAGGAGCUAAUGUCUCUUUUAAGUGACAGAAGUCAAAGAAAAGAGACCCAAGCUGCUCUAGGAGACCCAAUCCCCGCCCAUCUCUCUGCUGUGCCCUCUCUCAUGCUCUGAGACGGCUUCUGAACUCCAGCCAUCACAUCCUUACUCCAGAAUGUAGUUACAAAGAACAUACCCCUCUUUUAAAGGUACUGCCCAGAAGUCACCUGGCACCGUAUGGCCA
rnacentral:lncRNA from 1 species